UACAGAGAGUGCAAACGUUGUUCGGAAUUACUGGGCUUGAAGCGCACGUAGGCGGCAUCGUAAGUGUCGGGUGAAAUCCCACGGCUCACCCGUGGAACUGCCCGGCAUACUGCGAUGCUCGAGUGUGGUAGGGAAGAGCGGAACUCCUGGUGGAGCGGUGAAAUGCGUAGAUAUCAGGAGGAACACCGGUGGCGAAGGCGGCUCUUUGGUCCACAACUGACGCUGAGGUGCGAAAGCCAGGGGAGCAAACGGG
rnacentral:rRNA from 1 species